rnacentral:snRNA from 1 species
AGCUUUGCACAGUGGCAGUAUCAUAGCCAAUGAGGUUUAUCCGAGGCACAAUUAUUGCUGAUUGAAACAUUUCCCAAUACCCUGCCAUGAAGACUUGAAUAUAGUUGGCAUUAGCCAUUUUUGACAGUCUCUACAGAGA